GCAGAUGACCGGUAGUACCAGCUGGUGGUUGCUCAAGGCGACAACAGCCGCCUCUGCCACCAGUAUGGUGACAUCACCUCCAUUAUCUACUGUGUCACCAUCGGCUGCUCUAGCGACAGUUUUGUGUACUACUCAACCACCCCCUACUACGUCACCAACAACUGCUCUGGUUGCUACUCCACCACCCUUACAACUUCUAGAUACAUCUGUGGUUGUACUCCAUCGCGUGGUAUACAUGUUGGGAGUCCAACAACUGAGGCUUCGACGCGAUUGGACCACCAUCACCUACCAUUAGUAUGAUGACUAGAUAUGGGCCACGCCUCUUCGAGAUUGAUCCAACAAAAAUGGCCAAUUCAUCCAAUCACAUGCUGCUUAUCCACCAUGAUCCAAAUAUUUUCUUCUGCAUUUACAUCCGAGUGGACACAAUUGGAAGAGUGUGACAUAUGACGUUGUUCUCUUCUACUAGGAUGAGUUCAUGAAAGUUUAACAUUGGAACUCUCGGCUCGAUACCAUGGUAUAUCAAAAGUGGUCUGCACAGGCUGACAUCUAGUAUAGUGACAGACUAUACAAGUGAAGGGCCAAGCGUUAGAGACCGAAUAGAGUUAGAGAGGAGAUGUGGUUAGAGAGGAGGUGUGGAGUAGCUAAAUGAAUUACUUGUCCUCUAAUUAGUUUUAGAGGAAGCAUGUCAUUGCCUCCAAGAAUCAGGGCAACUAGACUGGGCCGAGGGAUCAAGAUCAGUUGAACGAGCCAAGAGGAUGGUCGAUAUCAUCAGCUGGUAAAGAUUGUCUCUCAGCCAGCUGAGGAAUCCACAGAGCCACCAAAGUUGGACACUACGGAGUUAUUCCUCCAGGCGGAAGAAAUGAGAAGAAGCAAUGUGUCUAUAGCAUGGGUGCUAGGACACCCUCUUUCUUCAACCAUGGAUCAUCUUACAGCUCCACUGCCAGAUCCCAGACGAUAGAUGUCCCUUAUACUGUAGAGGCACAAGUCAUCGAGAUUGUACAACAGUAAGUGUGGGCGGCGGUUUUGGGCGCGCUCCCAAGUGUCUCUAGUGACUAUUGCACUACAAGGCUUUUCAAUCUAAUAGGAAUAUGCUAACUAACCAUAGAGACUAGCGUGGAGAUGAGAGUCGCCACCCAGGUAAUUCUCCGGGACACUUUGGGUGACGUUUCUCGAUUUUAUAAGGAAGCUUCGUCACAUUAAGAGAUGGAUCAA